GCGACUGUUCUCGGCUCCUCUUUUUGGGCAAAAAUCGAAUCUUUUCAUGGAGAAUGGACGAAAGAGAGGAGUUUGCCAGUUGACAUUGGUUGUUCAGCAGACUAUGUUUUGGAAGAAGAACGAAAUUGCUGCUAGGUCAUAGUCGAAUGGAAUGGCAGAUACUAGACAAGACUCAGAGGGGAAGUCAUAGUAUUUAAUCUAUCAUAUAUCCUAGACAAGACUCCGACGGGAAGUAGUGUUUCCUCUGUCAUCCAAAUUAUUUCCCUUGCCCUGAAAGAGGCUGAGGAGGGAAGCUGGUUCCAUUUGUCAGGGAACUGAACUUGUUUCUUUUUUCUCAACUUAUCAUCAUCGAUCUCUUCCAAGUACUAUGCUCGAUAUGUAUGCAAUCCAAAUGUAUCGAUUCUCAAGGUAGCGUGUGGGGGCAAGCCUUGGCACAAUGAUUAGUCUUUGUUCAGAGGCAGUCAUUCGUUGAUAACUUUCGAGAACAUUAGUUGAUUCUUCACAAGACAUUAGUUGGAAGGAGUACUCAAAGAAUCUGAUGCUUGUCUUAUCAAGAUGGCAGCGCUGCAGUUUGAUUCUUGCAAAUCAGAAAAGCUUUUUUUCUGGUCAGCUUUAGGCUGUCAAUGAAAUGGUAGAGAUUGGUACUGCAUCGAGGGAUCAGAUUCUCGCUCAGCCGAGCAAGAGGGAUAUGACUAGGAACAAAAUGAAGCAUGGACAUGACGCAGGAAUCUUGAAACCUAAUGCAGAAAGCACCUCAUAAUCCCAAUGUUGGAUGAAUGCAGGAUGUUGAUUGUGUCCUUGCCAAAAAGGGAUUUCAUUGUGGUUCAUGAAUGAUAUUAACGGGUGAAGGCAUCAUCAAUAGUUUGGAGAACUUGUGGCGGCAGCAGAACAUUCAUGAAAUGACUCUGAUUAUUUUGUCCAGCAGCUGAAGUAGUUCAAAAAAAAUUCAGCAAUUUAGAAUAACAAUUAUGUAACAUGAAAACUCAAAAAGUGAUGAGUUUUCAUACAUUUUAAUCUACAAUCAGAUUGUUCAUAAAUAAGAAAAGAAAAAUCAUGAGAAAACAAAAAAGGGAAGAGAGGUGGGUGUCUUUGUUGUUGCUUGAUAGAUGUGUAAAGAAGAAAAUGGAAGAGGAAGAUGUGUGAAGGAAAAGAAAAGAAGAGAGAGAAAGUUGCAUA